CAGUGAUCCAGAUGAUCUUUUCUAGUCUUAUGUACCUAUGAUUAAAUGGGAAACAAGACACUGAACUAUCCCUUUCAACCCGCAGAUGGUUGCCUCCUGUCCAUAUUUUGCCCCACAUUGGCUGGGGAAGGUGACACUUGCUGUCCAUGCAUCAGAUCCCCUGGAGCAGUUAAUCCAGCAUUUAGCAAAAUGCCUCCUACAUCUGUGUUCUACACUGGUCCCUGAAACUGCCACAGAUCAAGACAUCUUCAUUUUCAGGUGCACUGGGAUUACCAAAGGAUGUCAGCACAACACUCAAAUUAACUGGCCUGAUCCUGUUCUAGAUUUGCCAUUUACUACACUUGGAGAAAGAUUGGGCCCAAUGUUUGCAUGUUAACUGUUGAUUCUGGAAUAUAAACAAUUUCCCCCCAAAUAGAAUUAAAGCCAGUGCAAGAUUGUGC
rnacentral:lncRNA from 1 species